rnacentral:misc_RNA from 1 species
AAGUCGUAACAAGGUUUCCGUAGGUGAACCUGCGGAAGGAUCAUUAUCGAGUUAGGGUCUCUCACGGCCCGAUCUCCCAACCCUUGUGUUUAAUCAUCCACGUUGCUUCGGCAGGCCCGUCCUCCCCUCUGGGGGCGGGGGACCGCCGGACUCGUCACAGAGUCUGGCCCGCGCCUGUCGGUAGCCCAACUUCAAAACUCUUGAUUAAUCGUGUCGUCUGAGUUUACAAACAAAAUAAAACAAAA